CGAGCCGUCGCAGCAGCUCGCAUGCAACGCCGUUCGCAUUUCCUUGUUCAUAUUACGCGACUUGUAAUAAGUUACCAGGCUCCUAGACACAUCGAGAAGAUAUCCACAAACGGAAACUUCAAAGCAAACGAUAAUUAGCCUGCAUUCCGAAAUUAAUAAGCUCCCGCCAACACAAAUCGGCCUUGAUUGGCUGCACACGCUGAAGAGGAGCGGAUGAAUUUAACUACUAAGGGUUUCAAUGGAGACUGCGAUGCGAACAAUUAUUUUACACAUCACACAGCUCACAUAUUAUACAUACACUUACAUCACAUCUUUAAUAUUCAUUUCAUAAAAGAAAUAGUUACGUAACCAAUGGAAAGACGUGAACU